rnacentral:misc_RNA from 1 species
UUUAUGAGAAAAAAUUGCGACAUGGAGAUGCUGUCUGAUCAUCUUCAAAUCACCUAAAACCCCAAGCUUAUAACGUGCACAAUUAAAUGUCCCACCUUCCCCAAGUGAAGGAAUGGAAUCAAAUAAUUAAAGUUAAUGUACUCUCCUUAAGAGAAAUUUUUUUACGAUAUAGUGGAAUUGUGAUGAGCAUUAUUAUGAUGCUGAAUAAGGAUCUUUAACAUGGCAGAUUUUUAAGAACUUUGGAAUAGAUUAGAAUUUCAAUUGAAGAGUAAGAGUAAAUAGACUAAUCUAUGUUUUGCAGGUGUGGUCCUUGCCAG